AUGGAUUUGGGCGACAUUGUGCUCUCCUGGUUGACCCAGGACAUCAUCAACGAUGACCUCUACAAAGGUCGAUGCUUCCAAGCUACUCCUUGCAGCUUCCUCUCACUUGACCACUAUCUCAAAUCGUAUCGCGCACCUCUGAUUGAAGAAAUAAGGUCAAAUCUAUGCUCACGCCUUGAACUCAUCGUAGAAGGACCCACUUCGAAAAUACUUUCUAUGGAGGCAACACAGAAGCCAGAAGUGUACUAUAUGGAUGUGGACUUUGGGGAUUAUGGGGCGGUUUAUUCCGUGGAGGCUCAUACUGUAAGGUAUGGCGAUGUGUUUAUUUUGUCUAGCGUGAAAUCUGAAGCUACAGAGGACUUCAGCUGCUAUGGAGUGACAUAUUACUUGGCAAUGGUUACUGACAUUUGCAUGGAUGAUAAUGAUGAAUGUCAGAAGCAUUUCAAAAUCAAGGUUGCAAAAGAUAUUGGCUUGGAAGAAGACUUACAAAAGCUCAGAUAUGCAAUAUUUCUCGGUAAUAUCAUAAAAAACAUGUGGAUAUGGAAAGCACUGAGCUUUGACAAGCACAUGAAUAACAAUUUCACACUGAUCGAGUCUCUCUUAGCCCCCACAAAUUCGGGUGGUGAUGUCUGUGGUAUCUGUGCUAAACAUGGUGGAGAACAUUUGGCUUGUUUUACAGAGCAACUAUUAGCGAUGAAUCGUAAUAAAUUGCAAAUGGAUGUUAUUGAAUCUGUCAUCUCAAUUGUAAGAUGUAGGCAUCUGAACCUCAUGAAGCUUAUACAAGGUAUACCAGGUACUGAAAAGACCCACACUGUUAGUGCUUUACUGUGGGCUUUGGCUUCUAUGAAAUGCAUAACUCUAACACGUGCUCCCACAAAUGUUGUUGUAAUUGGGGUUUGCACUCAUUUCCUGCAGAACUUCAAGGAUUUCAACAAAACAAUUGAUGACAAUGGUCUACCCUUUUCUCUUGGAGAUGUCUUGCUAUUUGGGAACAAGUAUAAGAUUAACAUAACCGGAGAUCUUUAG
rnacentral:rRNA from 1 species